AUGGAAGGAGAGACGCCGCCGCCGCCGGAGCUGGACGGAACGGAGGGUGAGGCGCAGCCGCCGCCGGCGUGUGUCUCCAAGGUGCUCGACGACGAGAACCUCCUGACGGAGAUCAUCGUCCGCGUCGGCUGCCCCACCAGCCUCGUCCGCGCCGCCGGAGUCUGCAGGCUCUGGCUCAGCCACGCCUCCGACCGCGCCUUCCUCCGCCGUUUCCGCGAGCUCCACCCGCCCAGGCUCCUCGGCUUCUACCUCGAGCAAAGGGAGUAUCCGGACGCCGCCGCACGAUUCUUCCCGAUGCUGCCUCAGCCUCCGGGGCUCGAUGCCGUCGUCCGCCGCGCAAGCUUCAGCCUGGACGCCUACGAGGGCGCACAGACCGACAUGGCGGGCUGCUGGAACGGCAGCGUCCUCACCAGUUUGCACGUGUAUAACUUCAACCACCGCCGAUCCGAAAUUACAUUUGUGGUGCACAUCCCAGCAUUACACCACAAAUCCGGGGAAGGCAAUUUCUGCACUUUUAUUCAGCUCUUUUCCAAAGAAGAAGGCGCCGGCGUGUCCUACUUUUAUGUCAGGGUGGAGUGCGACAGGCUUCAAACAUAUUCUACGGUGCAAGUAUAUGUGUUGCAAAAUGGUGAUCAUGUCUGGCGCACCCAUCUUACCUUGGCCUCAGCAGACGUCCUCCUAUAUCCACGAUCCAGCCCCAAAGGCGUGCUCGUUGGCAACAAAAUCUAUGUGCCGUGCGACCCAGAUGAAAUUGUUGUCCUGGACUUGACAACCUCGAUCUUAUUGACAAUUCAGCUUCCACAAGGGGUGGGUUUUGGCUUAGCAGGCAACACCAUGCUGUCACGGGCUGAUGAUUCUUCUGGUGUAUAUCUCAUCCAUGUCAAAGAGUUUCAACUUCACAUAUGGCUCCUCAAUGGCGACAGCUGGUUGUUGGUGGACACCAUUUGUUUGCGUGAAAUGUGUGCUAAUUUUCUUGAGGAUGAGCCUACUGCUGAUAUCCGGAUAAACCAUGUGGGGGACUACAAUGAGUUUGUAUUCUUGGAGAUGUGUCGAUGUGUACUCUACUUGGAUAUCAAGUGCAGGACGCUGCGUAAAGUGUAUGAGAUGACAUCGGAGGAGCAACAUUUGGGUGAUAUCUAUCCUUUUAUGAUGAGCUGGCCUCCCAUUUUCCCCGCGCUUGUGGAUAGCCCUGCAAGGUUUGUCUUCUGCCCUUUUGGUGAUUUCUAUAGUGUCCUUGUAGAGGUUACAUAG
rnacentral:rRNA from 1 species